AUUGAACGCUGGCGGCAUGCCUUACACAUGCAAGUCGAACGGUAACGCGGGGCAACCUGGCGACGAGUGGCGAACGGGUGAGUAAUGCAUCGGAACGUACCCAGUAGUGGGGGAUAGCCCGGCGAAAGCCGGAUUAAUACCGCAUACGACCUAAGGGUGAAAGCGGGGGACCGUAAGGCCUUGCGCUAUUGGAGCGGCCGAUGUCAGAUUAGGUAGUUGGUGGGGUAAAGGCCUACCAAGCCUUCGAUCUGUAGCUGGUCUGAGAGGACGACCAGCCACACUGGGACUGAGACACGGCCCAGACUCCUACGGGAGGCAGCAGUGGGGAAUUUUGGACAAUGGGCGAAAGCCUGAUCCAGCAAUGCCGCGUGUGUGAAGAAGGCCUGCGGGUUGUAAAGCACUUUCAGUAGGGAAGAUUAUGACGGUACCUACAGAAGAAGCACCGGGCUAACUCCGUGCCAGCAGCCGCGGUAAUGU
rnacentral:rRNA from 1 species